GGGGAAUAUUGCACAAUGGGGGAAACCCUGAUGCAGCGACGCCGCGUGAGUGAAGAAGUAUUUCGGUAUGUAAAGCUCUAUCAGCAGGGAAGAAGAAUGACGGUACCUGACUAAGAAGCCCCGGCUAACUACGUGCCAGCAGCCGCGGUAAUACGUAGGGGGCAAGCGUUAUCCGGAUUUACUGGGUGUAAAGGGAGCGUAGGUGGUGUGGUAAGUCAGAUGUGAAAGCCCGCGGCUUAACUGCGGGACUGCAUUUGAAACUAUCAUACUAGAGUGCAGGAGAGGUAAGUGGAAUUCCUAGUGUAGCGGUGAAAUGCGUAGAUAUUAGGAGGAACACCAGUGGCGAAGGCGGCUUACUGGACUGUAACUGACACUGAAGCUCGAAAGCGUGGGGAGCAAAC
rnacentral:rRNA from 1 species